AACGAACGCUGGCGGCAGGCUUAACACAUGCAAGUCGAACGCCCCGCAAGGGGAGUGGCAGACGGGUGAGUAACGCGUGGGAAUCUACCCAACCCUACGGAACAACUCCGGGAAACUGGAGCUAAUACCGUAUACGCCCUACGGGGGAAAGAUUUAUCGGGGAUGGAUGAGCCCGCGUUGGAUUAGCUAGUUGGUGGGGUAAAGGCCUACCAAGGCGACGAUCCAUAGCUGGUCUGAGAGGAUGAUCAGCCACAUUGGGACUGAGACACGGCCCAAACUCCUACGGGAGCCAGCAGUGGGGAAUAUUGGACAAUGGGCGCAAGCCUGAUCCAGCCAUGCCGCGUGAGUGAUGAAGGUCUUAGGAUUGUAAAGCUCUUUCACCGGUGAAGAUAAUGACGGUAACCGGAGAAGAAGCCCCGGCUAACUUCGUGCCAGCCGCCGCAGUAA
rnacentral:rRNA from 1 species